AUCGGUUACACUCCCCUGUCACCAGUGAUCCUUUUUUGCUGACAUUCUGAAAAAGUAUUGUGUAGUCCCUGUGGCAAGAACAUUAAAGAUAAAGGGGAAACUAUAAACAGAAGAAAUUAUCAACAAAAUAAGAUUUACAGAGGUCAACAAAGCCUAAAUGGUCAGACAUCUUGAUUUUCAUGGUCAUCAUUCACAGAUCAAUACUGA